CAGCACAGCCUCUCCCUCCAGGGGGCAGACAUUCACCACUACACAGCAAACACGGCUGACUUCCCGGAUGUCCGGAUGCCUGACGUUCUUGUGUCUUUUCAGUUUCCAGCCAGCUGUUUCUGCGCUCUCUCAGGCAGCUAGAAUUCCACGACUGGAAAAGAAGCAUGGAAAACCUCCUUUUGCCCUCCCAUCUUCCACCAUGAAAUGAUUCCAGAAGGCUAUGACUUGACACAGCUUCUAGACCCUGGACUUCUCAACCUUCAGAAGCAUGUACCAAACAGGGUUCUGUUCAUUAGGAUAAUCCAUUCCAUGCUACUUUGUUAUUGAAGCCUAAAAUGGACUAAGAGGAAUGGCUUGUCAACAGACACGAAAUACAACUGCUAUGUGGCCAAGAGGGUGAAGAAUCAGGGACGGAGAUCUGAGUUGCUGCCCACAUCCUACGCUCCUCCCUGUAGCCUCUCCCUACUGUUGGAUAUUUUUCUCACAGUUCAACCCAGAAUUUGGGUUUUGGGGGAAGACCACAAAGACGAAGUGCCGCUGUCAUUGUACCACAUCACGUCACUGUGACUGAUUGCCGUUGAUGAUGGCCUUGUAGCUGAAGAAAUGUUUUUCAGCUUCUCCACUGUAACUUUCCCACUCACAGUGACAGACAUAGCUCCCACCAUCCCAUCUUGCACUUUAUUGCUCAAUUACUAAUAUCACUUCUCAACAAGGUUCCAGACGUGCAGAAGAUCCCAGGUCUCUUUGACACUGACACCAAGUGAGAGAUGCCAUGAUUCCUCCAGAGAAGCCCCUUGGUUUCAUCACCGCCUCUGCACACUGCUCGUUAGUCACCUUAGCAGUCACGCCUGUGGGUUCAGAAAUGAUGUAUGAAGUCCCGACAUUAACUUUUUAAACAUUUCCAGAGAUUUCAGAAAAUUUCCGAUUACAUUAUAGAAAUGAGCCUCAACCUUACAUGGAAAACUUUAAAUUAUUGUUUUAGUUGUCCAAUUUUUGGAGUAGAGUCUAACAAUUUGGUGCACAUACACGGUGUCAAAUAUUGGCAGGAAACAUUUUUACCUCCUUAAACAUUAAAAGAUUUUGGGGUUAAAAUAUAGUACUUGUAUGUAUUCUUGAUAUGCAAUGUGCUAUUUCAAUGCAUGUGUGUUGACCAGAUCGGAGUAAUGUUUCCAUUUUCUUGCCAUUGCUUUGCUUUUGAAGACUUCAGGCUCCUAUUUUCUAAUUAUGCAUAAA